rnacentral:rRNA from 1 species
GACGAACGCUGGCGGCGUGCCUAAUACAUGCAAGUCGAACGCAGUGGGGACGGGUGAGUAACACGUGGGUAACCUCCCAUCAGAGGGGAUAACACUUGGAAACAGGUGCUAAACCGAUACUGAUGGAUGAACCCGCGGUUCAUUAGCUAGUUGGUGAGGUAACGGCUCACCAAGGCCACGAUGCAUACCCCAACUUAGAGGGUGACCGGCAAACCGGGGGAUUGGACCAGGCCCAGACUCCUACGGGAGGCAGCAGUAGGGAAUCUUCGGCAAUGGACAAAAGUCUGACCGAGCAACGCCGCGUGAGUGAAGAAGGUUUUCGGAUCGUAAAACUCUGUUGUUAGAGAAGCGGUAUCUAACCAGAAAGCCACGGCUAACUACGUGCCAGCAGCCGCGGUAAUAC